GAGUUUGAUCGUGGCUCAGGACGAACGCUGGCGGCGUGCUUAACACAUGCAAGUCGAGCGAGAAUCUACUGAAAGAGUUUUCGGACAAUGGAAGUAGAGGAAAGUGGCGGACGGGUGAGUAACGCGUGAGGAACCUGCCUUGAAGAGGGGGACAACAGUUGGAAACGACUGCUAAUACCGCAUGAUGCAUAAGGGUCGCAUGAUUCUUAUGCCAAAGAUUUAUCGCUUCAAGAUGGCCUCGCGUCUGAUUAGCUAGUUGGCGGGGUAACGGCCCACCAAGGCGACGAUCAGUAGCCGGACUGAGAGGUUGAACGGCCACAUUGGGACUGAGAUACGGCCCAGACUCCUACGGGAGGCAGCAGUGGGGAAUAUUGGGCAAUGGGCGCAAGCCUGACCCAGCAACGCCGCGUGAAGGAGAAGGCUUUCGGUAUGUAACUUCUAUCAGCACGGAAGAAAUAGACGGUACCUGACUAAGAAGCCCGGCU
rnacentral:rRNA from 1 species